UACGUAGGGCGCAAGCGUUGUCCGGAAUUAUUGGGCGUAAAGAGCUCGUAGGCGGCUUGUCACGUCGGGUGUGAAAGCCCGGGGCUUAACCCCGGGUCUGCAUUCGAUACGGGCUAGCUAGAGUGUGGUAGGGGAGAUCGGAAUUCCUGGUGUAGCGGUGAAAUGCGCAGAUAUCAGGAGGAACACCGGUGGCGAAGGCGGCGCUCUGGGCCGGAACUGACGCUGAGGAGCGAAAGCGUGGGGAGCGAACAGG
rnacentral:rRNA from 1 species